AGUGAACGCUGGCGGUAGGCCUAACACAUGCAAGUCGAACGGCAGCACAGUAAGAGCUUGCUCUUACGGGUGGCGAGUGGCGGACGGGUGAGGAAUACAUCGGAAUCUACUUUUUCGUGGGGGAUAACGUAGGGAAGCUUACGCUAAUACCGCAUACGACCUACGGGUGAAAGCAGGGGAUCUUCGGACCUUGCGCGAUUGAAUGAGCCGAUGUCGGAUUAGCUAGUUGGCAGGGUAAAGGCCCACCAAGGCGACGAUCCGUAGCUGGUCUGAGAGGAUGAUCAGCCACACUGGAACUGAGACACGGUCCAGACUCCUACGGGAGGCAGCAGUGGGGAAUAUUGGACAAUGGGCGCAAGCCUGAUCCAGCCAUACCGCGUGGGUGAAGAAGGCCUUCGGGUUGUAAAGCCCUUUUGUUGGGAAAGAAAAGCAGCAGGUUAAUACCCCGCUGUUCUGACGGUACCCAAAGAAUAAGCACCGGCUAACUUCGUG
rnacentral:rRNA from 1 species